UAGAUAAAGAUUAAUUAAUUGAAAGAAGUUAUUUGGUCAAUUGGACCACACAAUACUUAUUUACUUAUUUAAGCACUUAAAGUGGCCACCGUACACGAAGUUUAAUUUGGUAUGAAUUAUUAAUAUUUGUUAAACCUUACUCCAAUUUCAAUUUUUUUCCAAUCAAACCCUCCCCCUCCAAAAAAAUUAAUUUAAAAAAAAAUUAAAUAUUGCUAUGGCCAACAUGGUUUUCUGCUCAAACCUCAGGAAGGGCCAUCACCGAUUUGUGCCCUUUACAUUUUCAAAAGCAUUGUAAUUUAAUAUUAAGAUACAUUUUUUGGAAGACUGCCGCCUUUUUACCUCGGUUUCUGUGUGCUGUUCAUUAUAGCAUUUUUGGUACCAACAAUCCUGAUUUUGAAUUAAAAACAAUUAAGGCUCCCAUAAUGAAUGCAAUAAUUUCCAUGUAUUAUUCAAUCUCUUGAUUUUCACUUGACUUCAAUCAUUAACUGUCAUUAAUUUAUACCCUCCUUUAAACCCAAAGCUGUUACUGCGAAAUUAAAUGGAACCUAGUUAAUGCCAUAAAGAAAAACGUCUGCCAUGUGGGUGGGCAGUAUAGCUUCCUCACAUUUUAAUCUGUUUGGAAUAAAAUUCAGGGUUUCUUCUAGAAAGCAACCCGCAUAAUCCCUAAAACUUGCAAAAGAAUUUGACAAAUGGUUGCAAAGAUAGCUGUGCACGCAAUUUUAUGUUUGUGCAUGCACAGGCGAUACAGUUGAUCCGAUUGGGAUGAAAUUCACAGGGGGGCCUCUAGAAACCAACCCGUAUAAUCUCUGAAAAUUUUAUAAAAAUUGGUCUCAUGGUUUUGGAGUUUUGCCGGUUAUUGUACACAGACAGACAUGGAACCAAAUUUUUCAGAAAGGUCUGAAACUCAAAAUGCAAAUGGAAAUUUUGAUUAUGGAAGACAAUUUUUUUUUACAAGUCUUCCCUCUCUCCAGUAGUUUGCAAGCAAAAAAACAACGCUACCAAAAAUAAGGGUAAAUGUGACACCUACAGUCAAAAAUAAACAAAAACAUCUUGGCCUGGAAGAUUGUAAUUUUUGAAAUAAAUGAUGAUGUGGAAUGCAACCUUUUAUUUUCAUUUUGUAAAUGAAAGAAACACUUCUGGAGGCUCACAAUGUUUGAAUUGAAGUUAAAAGUAGAUAAUAGUAAUUUUAAAAAAAAUUACAGGUUUGUGUGGUGAUUAGUGACCGUUAAUCGAUUUCUAAAUAAAAAUUACAGGCUGUUGACUCAAAACACUAAUACAUUAUUAUGGUUUUUGUUUUCUUUUGAAUUCAACUGAUCUCAGGGUGAAUUUAAUCAUUCCAUUCCUAACUAAGAACGUUCAGUGUGAUGAAAGUAGUUGAAGAAAAACCUCAAAAACAAAAAAGAUUGACAAAGAGCUUCUGGUGAAUGUCAGGAUGUAGGAGUUAAAAUUGCACUUUUCACUCUACUUCUGAUAAAUUCUACGUUCUGGAGGCUCUUCAGGCCACUAAAGAUGAAG